GCCAGGCGCAGUGGCAUGUGCCUGUAGUCCCAGCUACUCGGGAGGCUGAGGCUGGAGGAUCGCUUGAGUCCAGGAGUUCUGGGCUGUACUGCACUAUGCCAAUUGGGUGUCCACACUAAGUUUGGCAUCAAUAAGGUGACCUACCAGGAGCAGGGGACCACCAGGGUUGCCUAAGGAGGAGUGAACCCGCCCAGGUCAGAAUCAGAACAGGUCAAACUCCCGUGCUGAUUAGUAGUGGGAUUGCACCUGUGAAUAGCCACUGCACUCCAGCCUGGGCAACAUAGCAAGACCUCAUCUGU
rnacentral:SRP_RNA from 1 species